rnacentral:lncRNA from 1 species
UUUAGAGUCCUGAUAUACCAUAAUCAAAACAUGACUUAGAGAGUCACAAUUUAAUUCUAUGUAUUUGCACACCUAAACACACAUUAGCAUAUCUGUUGCGUCAUUUAUUGGAGAUAAAGACUAUUUGAUUAGCGUUUGACUCACUAAUUAUUUCACGACUGAACAUUUAAUUUGAAAAGGGGAAAAAAGUUCAAACUCCCCAUGUUUUGAAAAGAUUUAGGGUUCGAGGUUUGGUUACACAAAGGGAAUGUAUUAGCACCCUUUAUGUUCGUAGUACUCUACGAGAACCUCUUGGUUUUAUUUAAUUAAUGUGCUAUAAACUUGUUUGCUUAAAAAGACAUGGUCAUUUGCCUACUUACCCGUGAGGGAUCAAAACCUCGUAGUUCAUAGUAGAAAUUGACGUUUGAUUGGUUGUGUGUUUUUUAUUAGUUUUCGAAAAAAGUUUUAAAAUGAAAAGCCAAAUAACAAAAUAAGUUUUGUUUGUAUUUUUUAUGUUAAAAGAAAAUGACUUGUAUGAUUAAAUAUAUUGAAAUUUGAUUAAUAAAGAAAUAAAAAAAAGGAAUCACUUGAUUUUGGAUCAAGGUUUAUUAUGAAAAUAUUUUUGGGACUUUUGUUAUUUGAAUGUUUUUGUUGUUUUAGAAUAAUGAAUGAAAAUUAAACUAACGGAUCAAUAAAAAUAAAAGCGCGUGAAUUUGUUUGUAGUAACGUUGGAUCACCACAUAAUCCCUAAUCUAAUUUUUUUUUUUUUUUGCAUUUUUGGAUAUAUAUAAAGCGGUAAAGAAAUAAAUGACACGCGCGCACACACUUUUUAUUUAUGAUUUACAUGGAAUAUUACGGCUUGCAUGUAGAUGAAAUUAGUUUCAAACAAUUAAAGUUUAACGGAAUACCAACUCUAAACCGCAACAUCAGCGAAUAGCAGCAAACUUUAAAGUUUAAUGGAAUAUUAUGUCUUUAUUAUAGAUCACAUACAUCAUUAAAUGAAUGAACUUAGAAUGUAGUUUUUUGCUUAUAUUAAUGACCGGAGGGUGUACGUGUAAUAGCAAUGAAACAAAGGGACAUUGGUAACACUAUAUCAAAACACAUUCAUAUUCUACUAAAACAAAAAACAUUUCAACUCUU